UAUUUUAUCUUCUGCCGUACUCCGAAUAAAAUUAUAUAUUUAUUUCGUUUCACACUUAACCAGCAAAUUGCACAGUAAUAAUUAUGUUUCGCCACACGUUUAUUUUAUUUUCGUUGUUUUGCCUUAUUGCUGCAGGAGAACACAAACAUAGUUUUAUUGAACAAGAGCUUAAAAUUUGCGAAUUUGAAAGUAAUAAAAUCAGAUGUCCAGCAAAUAUGGUAAUUAGAAUAAUAUCUGCUGCUUAUGGUAAAUCUGGAAACGGAAACGUUUGUGAUGAAAAAAAAAACAUAGAAUGUUAUGCCUCAUCAUCUCUACCUAUUGUGCAUCAACA